rnacentral:rRNA from 1 species
AGAAUCAACGCUGGCGGCGUGCCUAAUACAUGCAAGUCGUACGCGAAAGCGGCCUUCGGGUCGUGAGUAGAGUGGCAAACGGGUGAGUAACGCGUGGGUGACCUGCCUUCGAGUGGGGGAUAACUCUCCGAAAGGAGGGCUAAUACCGCAUAACAUCCCGCCCUUGGAUGGGUGGAGAUCAAAGCCGGGGAUCGCAAGACCUGGUGCUUGAAGAGGGACCCGCGUCCGAUUAGCUUGUUGGUGGGGUAGUGGCCUACCAAGGCUUCGAUCGGUAGCCGGCCUGAGAGGGCGGACGGCCACACUGGGACUGAGACACGGCCCAGACUCCUACGGGAGGCAGCAGUAGGGAAUUGUUCGCAAUGGGCGCAAGCCUGACGACGCAACGCCGCGUGGAGGACGAAGAUCUUCGGGUUGUAAACUCCUGCCGAGCGGGACGAAUAGUGCACGGGUUAAUACCUCGUGCGCCUGACGGUACCGCUAAAGGAAGCCCCGGCUAACUCCGUGCCAGCAGCCGCGGUAAUACGGGGGGGGCAAGCGUUGUUCGGAAUUACUGGGCGUAAAGGGCUCGUAGGCGGCCAGCCAAGUCGGACGUGAAAUCCCCAGGCUCAACCUGGGAACUGCGUCCGAUACUGGUUGGCUUGAAGUCGGGAGAGGGAUGCGGAAUUCCAGGUGUAGCGGUGAAAUGCGUAGAUAUCUGGAGGAACACCGGUGGCGAAGGCGGCAUCCUGGACCGAUCUUGACGCUGAGGAGCGAAAGCUAGGGGAGCAAACGGGAUUAGAUACCCCGGUAGUCCUAGCCCUAAACGAUGAAUGCUUGGUGUGGCGGGUAUCGAUCCCUGCCGUGCCGGAGCUAACGCAUUAAGCAUUCCGCCUGGGGAGUACGGUCGCAAGGCUG